rnacentral:rRNA from 1 species
AUUGAACGCUGGCGGCAGGCCUAACACAUGCAAGUCGAGCGGACGAGUGGAGCUUGCUCCAUGAUUCAGCGGCGGACGGGUGAGUAAUGCCUAGGAAUCUGCCUGGUCGUGGGGGACAACGUUUCGAAAGGAACGCUAAUACCGCAUACGUCCUACGGGAGAAAGCAGGGGACCUUCGGCCCUUGCCCUACCAGAUGAGCCUAGGUCGGAUUAGCUAGUAGGUGAGGUAAUGGCUCACCUAGGCGACGAUCCGUAACUGGUCUGAGAGGAUGAUCAGUCACACUGGAACUGAGACACGGUCCAGACUCCUACGGGAGGCAGCAGUGGGGAAUAUUGGACAAUGGGCGAAAGCCUGAUCCAGCCAUGCCGCGUGUGUGAAGAAGGUCUUCGGAUUGUAAAGCACUUUAAGUUGGGAGGAAGGGCAGUAAGUUAAUACCUUGCUGUCUUGACGUUACCAACAGAAUAAGCACCGGCUAACUUCGUGCCAGCAGCCGCAGUAAGAC